rnacentral:rRNA from 1 species
UUGGAGGGCAAGUCUGGUGCCAGCAGCCGCGGUAAUUCCAGCUCCAAUAGCGUAUAUUAAAGUUGUUGCAGUUAAAAAGCUCGUAGUUGAAUUUCGGGAUCAAUGUUUCGGUCAUGCCGUUGGUAUGUACUGAUAUUAUUGAUUUCUCACCUUCUAAAGAACCGUAAUGCCAUUAAUUUGGUGUCACGGGGAAUUAGGACUGUUACCUUGAAAAAAUUAGAGUGUUUAAAGCAGGCUCACGCUUGAAUACAUUAGCAUGGAAUAAUGAAAUAGGACGUUCGAUCCUAUUUUGUUGGUUUCUAGGAUUGACGUAAUGAUUAAUAGGGAUAGUUGGGGGCAUUAGUAUUCAAUUGUCAGAGGUGAAAUUCUUGGAUUUAUUGAAGACUAACUACUGCGAAAGCAUUUGCCAAGGAUGUUUUCAUUAAUCAAGAACGAAAGUUAGGGGAUCGAAGACGAUCAGAUACCGUCGUAGUCUUAACCAUAAACUAUGCCGACUAGGGAUCGGAUGAUGUUAAUUUUUUAACGACUCAUUCGGCGCCUUACGGGAAAC